GAUGAACGCUGGCGGCGUGCCUAAUACAUGCAAGUCGAGCGAACAGACGAGGAGCUUGCUCCUCUGACGUUAGCGGCGGACGGGUGAGUAACACGUGGAUAACCUACCUAUAAGACUGGGAUAACUUCGGGAAACCGGAGCUAAUACCGGAUAAUAUAUUGAACCGCAUGGUUCAAUAGUGAAAGACGGUUUUGCUGUCACUUAUAGAUGGAUCCGCGCCGCAUUAGCUAGUUGGUAAGGUAACGGCUUACCAAGGCAACGAUGCGUAGCCGACCUGAGAGGGUGAUCGGCCACACUGGAACUGAGACACGGUCCAGCCUCCGACGGGAGGCAGCAGUAGGGAAUCUUCCGCAAUGGGCGAAAGCCUGACGGAGCAACGCCGCGUGAGUGAUGAAGGUCUUCGGAUCGUAAAACUCUGUUAUUAGGGAAGAACAAAUGUGUAAGUAACUAUGCACGUCUUGACGGUACCUAAGCAGAAAGCCACGGCUAACUACGU
rnacentral:rRNA from 1 species